GAGAACCUAGUAAAACUAUUACAUGAUCUUGUCAAGAUCAAAUUACAAUUUAUUGUGAUUCUCA
rnacentral:tRNA from 1 species